rnacentral:lncRNA from 1 species
CAGUCUCCUGCUCAUCCCCUUCUCUUGCCUAUGCAGAGCCACUGAAUGCUUAUAAUGGAAAUAUUUUUGCAUCUAUGUAGCGGAGAACACCCGUCCAAACCGGAUGUUUGAGAUCACAGGGACUGACCCAGAAUCUGCACUGGGGCAGACAUGAAAGCAUGAAAAUUUCAUUCACAAAGGUUUUCUGGGACCAGCUCUUUUCUGCCUAAGCAGAGUCACGCACGUACUGGCUCAGACGCUCCCACAGCCCUUCCAAAGCAGAGCUGACUGCUUUUAAAGUUAUGCAGGGCUACAUCCUUAAUGGACAGAGGCCACGAGCUCAACUGGGAACAAUUACCAGCUGAAUAAGAUGUUCAUCUGCAAGGGGUGCACUUCUGCCAGCUACUACCCUUGGACGGCCCACGGAGCGAGAGGCACAGUUGGUCCCACGCCUACUUGUUUUCCUUCCCUUUGCUGCCACAGUUUCAACUGAUUUUGAUUACCCUGGCGCCAAAUAAAUGAAAACAUUUCAUAGACAUAUAAUCACUCGUCACUGCAAAGAAAGGAAAAAUGCUUGUGUACUGCGUGUUUAUAAAUACACUUAAUGAAAAAGGGAGAGAUCUGCCCUUCCCAGCCUCGUGUGGCUGAAGCCAGUGUAGCUGCAUGUCCUGUCAGGAAAGUCAGCCGCUGCUACCAUCCUGAUGUGGCCACUGGUGUGGAUGUCACUGGGAGAGACACAGCCCUGCCCCCUUCCCUGAUCAUGCUCCGAUGAUCAGUGUGGGGUGAGAGCAAACCUCCAAGUCAGCAAUUAAGACAUCCAAGAAUUUCAUGUUGAGGAAAGGGAAAAGCCCCAGACAUUGCCAUGAGGACUGCAUAUGGAAGAAAAUGCAAGCAAAUCCAGCAUGGGAAAAUGAGGAGAUGCACUGGGCGAGCGUUCAUCAGGCUUUCAUACUGGAUCAGACAGGAGCUCAGACUAUUUUGGCAGAGGGCAGUAACCAGGUGCAAGUCCCAGGCCACUGACUAGCUCAGCCAGAGCUAUCUCCAUACACAGUACCACACUAAAAGAGGAUGCAACAGCCAUAAAGACAGCAGUGCUCUCUGAGAACCUGUUACCAACUCCAGGUUUGUUCUAUCCAUCAUAAGCAAAAUGUUGAUGUUCUUAGAAUGAAUGAGUCCUAACCAUAAAUGCUGAAGUAUUUUCUGAGCAAUUAGAUGGAAUAAGGUAUUUUUGCUGGGAUUCCCUG